GGGGGGUUGUAAAAAUUUGUCACGACACAAAAGCACGACAUGAACCUAACACGAAAUUCUGGUUUUGGCUCAGUCUAAACGACUUCGGGUUCAUGUGUUAGACAUGGUUUUGGUGUAGUAUCUGGGUUCGACCCAGCAACCCACGAACACGACCUAUUUAACCUCCUCUACAUGGGUGGCAUAAUAUGGUUUAACGAUAUGCGGGGCCUUAAU